CCUACGGGAGGCAGCAGUGGGGGAUAUUGCACAAUGGGGGGAACCCUGAUGCAGCGACGCCGCGUGGGUGAAGAAGCGCCUCGGCGCGUAAAGCCCUGUCAGCAGGGAAGAAAAUGACGGUACCUGAAGAAGAAGCCCCGGCUAACUACGUGCCAGCAGCCGCGGUAAUACGUAGGGUGCAAGCGUUAUCCGGAUUUACUGGGUGGAAAGGGGGCGCAGACGGCGAUGCAAGCCAGGAGUGAAAGCCCGGGGCCCAACCCCGGGACUGCUCUUGGAACUGCGUGGCUGGAGUGCAGGAGGGGCAGGUGGAAUUCCUGGUGUAGCGGUGAAAUGCGUAGAUAUCAGGAGGAACACCGGUGGCGAAGGCGGCCUGCUGGACUGCAACUGACGUUGAGGCCCGAAAGCGUGGGGAGCAAACAGGAUUAGAUACCCCUGUAGUC
rnacentral:rRNA from 1 species